GGAGAAUACUGGGGUCUGAUGGAGUUUAAUGGAGAAUGCUGGUGUCUGAUGGUGUUUAGUGGAGAAUGCUGGUGUCUGAUGGAGUUUAAUGGAGAUUGCUGGUGUCUGAUGGAGUUUAAUGGAGAAUGCUGGUGUCUGAUGGAGUUUAAUGGAGAAUGCUGGUGUCUGAUGGAGUUUAGUGGAGAAUGCUGGUAUCUGAUGGAGUUUAAUGGAGAAUGUUGGUGUCUGAUGGAGUUUAAUGGAGAAUGUUGGUGUCUGAUGGAGUUUAAUGGAGAAUGCUGGUGUCUGAUGGAGUUUAAUGGAGAUUGCUGGUGUCUGAUGGUGUUUAGUGGAGAAUGCUGGUGUCUGAUGGAUUUAUAUGGAGAAUGCUGGUGUCUGAUGGAGUUUAAUGGAGAAUGCUUGUAUCUGAUGGAGUUUAAUGGAGAAUGCUGGUGUCUGAUGGAGUUUAGUGGAGAAUGCUGGUAUCUGAUGGAGUUUAAUGGAGAUUGC
ensembl:lncRNA